AAAUUGAAGAGUUUGAUCAUGGCUCAGAUUGAACGCUGGCGGCAGGCCUAACACAUGCAAGUCGAACGGUAACAGGAAGCAGCUUGCUGCUUYGCUGACGAGUGGCGGACGGGUGAGUAAURUCUGGGAAACUGCCUGAUGGAGGGGGAUAACUACUGGAAACGGUGGCUAAUACCGCAUAACGUCGCAAGACCAAAGAGGGGGACCUUCGGGCCUCUUGCCAUCAGAUGUGCCCAGAUGGGAUUAGCUKGUUGGUGAGGUAACGGCUCACCAAGGCGACGAUCCCUAGCUGGUCUGAGAGGAUGACCAGCCACACUGGAACUGAGACACGGUCCAGACUCCUACGGGAGGCAGCAGUGGGGAAUAUUGCACAAUGGGCGCAAGCCUGAUGCAGCCAUGCCGCGUGUAUGAAGAAGGCCUUCGGGUUGUAAAGUACUUUCAGCGGGGAGGAAGGUGUUGYGGUUAAUAACCRCAGCAAUUGACGUUACCCGCAGAAGAAGCACCGGCUAACUCCGUGCCAGCAGCCGCGGUAAUACGGAGGGUGCAAGCGUUAAUCGGAAUUACUGGGCGUAAAGCGCACGCAGGCGGUCUGUCAAGUCGGAUGUGAAAUCCCCGGGCUCAACCUGGGAACUGCAUUCGAAACUGGCAGGCUUGAGUCUUGUAGAGGGGGGUAGAAUUCCAGGUGUAGCGGUGAAAUGCGUAGAGAUCUGGAGGAAUACCGGUGGCGAAGGCGGCCCCCUGGACAAAGACUGACGCUCAGGUGCGAAAGCGUGGGGAGCAAACAGGAUUAGAUACCCUGGUAGUCCACGCCGUAAACGAUGUCUACUUGGAGGUUGUGCCCUUGAGGCGUGGCUUCCGGAGCUAACGCGUUAAGUAGACCGCCUGGGGAGUACGGCCGCAAGGUUAAAACUCAAAUGAAUUGACGGGGGCCCGCACAAGCGGUGGAGCAUGUGGUUUAAUUCGAUGCAACGCGAAGAACCUUACCUGGUCUUGACAUCCACRGAASUUUYCAGAGAUGGAYUGGUGCCUUCGGGAACYGUGAGACAGGUGCUGCAUGGCUGUCGUCAGCUCGUGUUGUGAAAUGUUGGGUUAAGUCCCGCAACGAGCGCAACCCUUAUCCUUUGUUGCCAGCGRUYMGGYCGGGAACUCAAAGGAGACUGCCAGUGAUAAACUGGAGGAAGGUGGGGAUGACCUUAACCUUCGGGAGGGCGCUUACCACUUUGUGAUUCAUGACUGGGGUGAAGUCGUAACAAGGUAACCGUAGGGGAACCUGCGGUUGGAUCACCUCCUUA
rnacentral:rRNA from 1 species